UACGUAGGGACCAAGCGUUGUUCGGAUUUACUGGGCGUAAAGGGCGCGUAGGCGGCGUGACAAGUCACUUGUGAAAUCUCCGGGCUUAACUCGGAACGGUCAAGUGAUACUGUCGGACUAGAGUACAGAAGGGGCAACUGGAAUUCUACGGUGUAGCGGUGAAAUGCGUAGAUAUCGAGAGGAACACCAGUGGCGGAAGGCGGUACUCUGGGCCGGAACUGAACGC
rnacentral:rRNA from 1 species